AGCGCAGCCAUGCUUUGCAGAGGCUCUCCAGCCCCCCUGACUCACUCCAACAGAGGGCAAGACGCACAACGGACGCUUCCUGCUACACACACACACAUGCACACACAUAUACACACACACUUACAUGCACACAGCCCACAGAAGCAGGAAUGGACUCCAAAAAAACCCCAAAAAAACAACAACAAUGAAACCGCAGCAACAACAGCGAUCUUUUAAUCUUAAUGGAGAACAGAAGAGCGGAUACGUCUCGCGCCUCAUCUCCCAUCCAACAUGGAGUGUGUUGAUCCAGAAGACGGCACACAACAAUUUUUUAUCUUUUGUUUUUAGAAGAGAUCAGACUUCCUGUACUGAGCAGAUCUCACAUCGAAUCCAUGACGUUGUUGCAGAUUUUAUUUUUGAAUUGACUGCAAAAAAAGAAAGGAUGAUGGAUG